rnacentral:rRNA from 1 species
GACGAACGCUGGCGGCGUGCUUAACACAUGCAAGUCGAACGGAAAGGCCCUGCUUUUGUGGGGUGCUCGAGUGGCGAACGGGUGAGUAACACGGGAGUAACCUGGCCUUGACUUUGGGAUAACUUCAGGAAACUGGGGCUAAUACCGGAUAGGUGCUCCUGCUGCAUGGUGGUGGUUGGAAAGUUUAGGCGGUUGGGGAUGGACUCGCGGCUUAUCAGCUUGUUGGUGGGGUAGUGGCUUACCAAGGCUUUGACGGAUAGCCGGCCUGAGAGGGUGACCGGCGACAUUGGGACUGAGAUACGGACCAGACUCCUAUGGGAGGCAGCAGUGGGGAAUAUUGCACAGUGGGCGGAAGCCUGAUGCAGAAACGCCGCGUGCGGGAUGACGGCCUUCGGGUUGUAAACCGCUUUAGCCUGUGACGAAGCGUGAGUGACGGUAAUGGGUAAAGAAGCACCGGCUAACUACGUG